AUGGACAGGCUACUGAACACUAAGAUGAAGCCACGACCAGACCCCAGGGAAGCCAAAAGUGUGAGCCGAGGAGAGAAUGUGGAGCAGCCUUCUACUCUGAGUGUCCAGGAAGGAGACACCUCUGUUAUCAACUGUACCUACUCAAACAGUGCUUCAGUCUACUUUCUAUGGUACAAACAAGCACCUGGGCAAGGGCCCAAGCUCAUCAUAGACAUUCGCUCCAAUGUGGAUAAAAAACAAGACCAAAGAUUCACUGUUUGGUUGGAUAAGAAGGCCAAGCGUGUCUCCCUGCACAUCGCAGCCACCCAACCCGGGGACUCAGCUGUGUACUUCUGCGCAGCGAGUACACAGUGCUCCCCAGGCACCUGCGUCCUGUACCCAAACCUGUGA